rnacentral:SRP_RNA from 1 species
GCUAGGCACAGUGGUGUUCGCCUGUAGUCCCGGCUACUUGGGAGGAUUGCUUGAACCCAGGAGUUCUGGGCUGUAGUACACUAUGCCUAUCGGGUGUCCACAUUAAGUUCGGCAUCAAUAUGGUAACCUUCCAGCAGCCAGGGACCACCAGGUUGCCUAAUAUGAGGCAAACCAGCCUAGGUUGCAAAUGGAGCAGGUCAAAACUCCUCUGCUGAUCAGUAAUGGGAUCACACCUGUGAAUAACCACUGUACUCCAGCCUGGGCACUAUAGCAAGA